UUAGAGGUGCUGCUUUCUGAGCGUUCAAAGCCUUUCCUCCAAGGGGCAGGAAGGCCAGCCCCAUGGUGUAGAAGGGAGAAGUUCAUCAUGGAAGAGCCAGGAGUCUCCAGCCCCCGGAGCUGCUCAGCGCAGACUUCCCUGGCACCUUCCAGAUGGACGCGGUCUGCUUGACGUGGCUGAAGCACCACUGCAAAGAGGCGACUGACAGCUUCCUGUGCUUGACUCUCAAAGAACAUUCUGGAACACGUAAGCAGCCUCUCUGUGAACGUGGAAGCAAUGGUCUUGUCAGCCCUGACUCCACGUGGCCUCCCGACUUGUAUGUUCACCACGCACUGAAAGAGUUCCUGUGCCAGCCCUCAGUUCCAAGAAGAUCAUCUCAAGGACCUGUAUUCAGUAGGUGCCCCAGGGCCCAUUCCCUGUGGCCAGAGACGGUUCAUAGGUCAGACCCUCCCCUUCUGCAGGAAGGGUGUUCAGAGGAAAGGGAACGGGGUAAGAGGCAGCCAAGAGUAUUCUUUGGUCCCCUCAAGUCACCCUUAGUGGAUUUCUCCCACAGUCUUCGGGCAGAUGACUCGGCAGGAGGUUCUGUGGCGCAGACAUUCUGUGAACAAUGCUGUUUCUUGGAUGAAACAGGUUGUGAGUUCCUGGGACAAGUAGAGGUCCCCUCUGGGCCCCUGAUGUGGCUGUCUCAUCCUGUGAGAGGGGAGACAGACAGAAGCAGGUUUACAGCCUCCUUCCUGCUACUCUCGUGGUGGGGUAUGGACAUUCAAACCCACCCCGGUGUCCAAGAGCCUUCUCAAGCAAGGUCUAAGGAAAUGGAGAGGAUGGAAAAUUCAGGCAGCACUUGA
rnacentral:lncRNA from 1 species